rnacentral:rRNA from 1 species
AAGGCGCGAAGCAUACGGAAAGCUGCGGCAAGUACGGAAAAGCUGAGAGCAGGCUUCCAGGAAAAGCUUCUAGCACAACACGCAUCGGCCCGUACCGAAAAUGGACACACAUGGGCAAGGAGAGAAUCCUGAGGUGAGCGAGAGAACUAUAGCUAAGGAACUCUGCAAAAUGACCCCGUAACUUAGGGAGAAGGGGUGCUCCAGAAAUGGAGCCGCAGUAAAACGGCCCAAGCGACUGUUUACCAAAAACACAGCUCUCUGCGAAGGCGCAAGCUGAAGUAUAGGGGGUGACGCCUGCCCGGUGCUGGAAGGUCAAGGGGAGCUGUCAGCGCAAGCGAAGCAGCGAGCCGAAGCCCCAGUAAACGGCGGCCGUAACGAUAACGGUCCUAAGGUAGCGAAAUUCCUUGUCGGGCAGGUUCCGACCCGCACGAAAGGCGUAACGAUUUGGGCGCUGUCUCAGCUGUAGACUCGGUGAAGUCUUAGUACCUGUGAAGAUGCAGGUUGCCCGCGACUAGACGGAAAGACCCCAUGGAGCUUCACUGCAGGUUGACAUUGGGCUUGGAUGCAUGAUGUACAGGAUAGGUGGGAGGCUGUGAGCCGUGCGCGCCAGCGUACGGGGAGCCGCUGUUGGGAUACCACCCUUCAUGCAUCUAGGUCCUAACCGGAGGCAACGGGCCACGGGACAGUGUCAGUCGGGCAGUUUGACUGGGGCGGUCGCCUCCCAAAGAGUAACGGAGGCGCCCAAAGAUACCCUCAGCAUGGAUGGAAACCAUGCAUAGAGUGCAAAGGCAUAAGGGUGUCUGACUGCGAGACAUACAGGUCGAGCAGGGACGAAAGUCGGGCUUAGUGAUCCGGCGGAUCCGAAUGGAAGGGCCGUCGCUCAACGGAUAAAAGCUACCCUGGGGAUAACAGGCUGAUCUCCCCCAAGAGUUCACAUCGACGGGGAGGUUUGGCACCUCGAUGUCGGCUCAUCGCAUCCUGGAGCUGAAGUCGGUUCCAAGGGUUGGGCUGUUCGCCCAUUAAAGCGGUACGCGAGCUGGGUUCAGAACGUCGUGAGACAGUUCGGUCCCUAUCUGUCGUGGGCGCAGGAGGUUUGAGGAGAGCUGCCCCUAGUACGAGAGGACCGGGGUGGACGGACCGAUGGUGCACCAGUUGUCACGCCAGUGGCACAGCUGGGCAGCCAAGUCCGGACGGGAUAAGCGCUGAAGGCAUCUAAGCGUGAAGCCCCCUCCAAGAUGAGACCUCCCAUUGGCGACAAGUAAGGCCCCUCGAAGACGACGAGGUUGAUAGGCCGCGAGUGCAAGCGCAGCGAUGUGCUUAGCGGGGCGGUACUAAUAGGCCGAGGACUUGGCCAA